UACAGGGGGUGCAAACGUUGCUCGGAAUCAUUGGGCGUAAAGCGCACGUAGGCGGUCUGUUAUGUCGGAUGUGAAAGCCCUUGGCUCAACUAAGGAAGUGCAUCCGAAACUGGCAGGCUGGAGUACUAAAGAGGGUCGCGGAAUUCCCGGUGUAGAGGUGAAAUUCGUAGAUAUCGGGAGGAACACCGGUGGUGUAGACGGCUCUCUGGACCGUAACUGACGCUGAGACACGAAAGCGUGGGUAGCAAACAGG
rnacentral:rRNA from 1 species